AUUGAACGCUGGCGGCAGGCCUAACACAUGCAAGUCGAACGGUAGCACAGAGAGCUUGCUCUCGGGUGACGAGUGGCGGACGGGUGAGUAACGUCUGGGAAACUGCCCGAUGGAGGGGGUUAACUACUGGAAACGGUAGCUAAUACCGCAUAACGUCGCAAGACCAAAGUGGGGGACCUUCGGGCCUCACACCAUCGGAUGUGCCCAGAUGGGAUUAGCUAGUAGGUGGGGUAAUGGCUCACCUAGGCGACGAUCCCUAGCUGGUCUGAGAGGAUGACCAGCCACACUGGAACUGAGACACGGUCCAGACUCCUACGGGAGGCAGCAGUGGGGAAUAUUGCACAAUGGGCGCAAGCCUGAUGCAGCCAUGCCGCGUGUAUGAAGAAGGCCUUCGGGUUGUAAAGUACUUUCAGCGGGGAGGAAGGCGGUGAAGUUAAUAGCUUCACCGAUUGACGUUACCCGCAGAAGAAGCACCGGCUAACUCCGUGCCAGCCGCCGCAGUAA
rnacentral:rRNA from 1 species